GACGAACGCUGGCGGCGUGCUUAACACAUGCAAGUCGAACGGAAAGGCCCUGCUUUUGUGGGGUGCUCGAGUGGCGAACGGGUGAGUAACACGUGAGUAACCUGCCCUUGACUUUGGGAUAACUUCAGGAAACUGGGGCUAAUACCGGAUAGGAGCUCCUGCUGCAUGGUGGGGGUUGGAAAGUUUCGGCGGUUGGGGAUGGACUCGCGACUUAUCAGCUUGUUGGUGGGGUAGUGGCUUACCAAGGCUUUGACGGGUAGCCGGCCUGAGAGGGUGACCGGCCACCUUGGGACUGAGAUACGGCCCAGACUCCUACGGGGGGCAGCAGUGGGGAAUAUUGCACAAUGGGCGGAAGCCUGAUGCAGCAACGCCGCGUGCGGGAUGACGGCCUUCGGGUUGUAAACCGCUUUCGCCUGUGACGAAGCGUGAGUGACGGUAAUGGGUAAAGAAGCACCGGCUAACUACGUG
rnacentral:rRNA from 1 species